rnacentral:tmRNA from 2 species
GGGGCCAAAUUGGCUUCGACAGAGUACAUUAAGUAAAUGGUUCAAGUGGUCUAAGUCACGUAAUGACCCUAAACUUUCGCGACAAAUCCAAACGCAAACAAACAGUUUGCACCUGCCCUAGCUUAAUUUUAAGUUAAGGCAGCGCUUGCUCUGCCUGCGCCCGUAAGGCGGAAGCAAGUGUCAUAAAUUCGGGCUUGCCCGACCCAGAUUGUCUUGUUAAGUCGGGGACAAAACGAAGGCAAAACUUUAAACUUGUCAACUCCAUUUACUGGUAUAUCUGGACAGGGGUUCGAUUCCCCUUGGCUCCACCA